GAGGGUGUAGCUCAGUGGUAGAGCGCAUGCUUAGCAUUCACGAGGUCCUGGGUUCAGUCCCCACGACCUCC
rnacentral:tRNA from 1 species